rnacentral:lncRNA from 1 species
UGAUAGAAAGUCAUUUAGCCUUUGUAGACGAUGUUGUUUUCUUCUUCCGAGCAUCGACGAAAACCUUAACCAAAUUGAAUGUCAUACUAGAGGAAUUCUCAUCUUUCUCGGGACUCCAAAUUAAUAAGAAAAAUAACUCAGUAGUUUUCUCGCAGAGGGUAAGAGAUGAAACAACUCUAGCUGCGAUACUAGAAUUUCAACAAAAACACUUGUCGUUAAAAUACUUGGGAGUAACACUCACUGGAAAGUCCAUCUCAAAUAGGAAUUGUGAUCCUUUGAUAGCGGAUUUAAAUAACAUUCUAACAAGAUGUAGCAAAAAGAAACUAUCGUACAUGUGAAGAGUACAAUUAGUGGAUUGGGUCUUCCAAGAAAUUUUUGGAUAUUUGAUGCAAUAGUACAGUUCCGCAAGUUACAACCCAAACAAUAAAAUCCCUAGCCUAUAGGUUCAUAUGGGGGACACAAAAGGAAGUCGCUUGGUCAAUGAUGAUUAAACCUCGACCCGAAGGUGGCAUGAGGGUAAAGGACUUCCAAACUACUCAAGUGACCGCAACAGUGGACAAACUAUGCAUAUUGUGAACAGACGAGGGCAUAUGGGGGGAUUGGAUGAACAAAAGGUACAUCAAAGGAGAAGCCUUGAAUAAUAUCUCGAGACGCUAUACUGAACAUGUGGAGAAUACGAAGGGGCAGCAUAGCAAUAAGGGAUAUAAUGAGACGUAAAUGAAUGAAUGUGACAGAAAAUUGUGUAUUAUGUGGUGAAAAACCUGAGACAAUAUCUCAUGUUUUUUCAAAUACAGGUUCGCGAGGUGGAUGCUAGAGGAGGGCUUUGAUGCAGCGGGUGGAUUGGUGAAUACACAAGACAUUAGAGAUUUUGAAACCAUGACUCAUGAAAUUGAGAAAAUCACUCAUAGAUCAAAGUGUUGGGAAUUGCAUUGGACAAUGUUUGGUUUCAUACUGUUCCACAUAUGAAAGGAGUGAAACCAACGUCACCAUGGAGGAAUCUUAACAUCGCAGGAAAUGAUCAUAAGGGAAUGCAUCAGAUCGACGAAAUCGGUUUCAAGGAAAACAAAUUAAAAAAGCCACACAAGAGGAACGCGGAAGAGAGGGCAUUACAUCAAUGUGAUGUUUUUCAGUUGCUGAUGCACAACAGAGUGGAAGAAGGAAGUUAAGAUUGAUUAACUGUCGGGAAAACCCGUCUUCUUAGAUAGAAAGUAAGUAUAACUAUAUUUAAAUCAUUUAUUUUUGUGUGUUGAACUUCUGU